GAAGGGUGCAAGCGUUACUCGGAAUUACUGGGCGUAAAGCGUGCGUAGGUGGUUUGUUAAGUCUGAUGUGAAAGCCCUGGGCUCAACCUGGGAACUGCAUUGGAUACUGGCUUACUAGAGUGCGGUAGAGGGGUGUGGAAUUCCCGGUGUAGCAGUGAAAUGCGUAGAUAUCGGGAGGAACAUCUGUGGCGAAGGCGACACCCUGGACCAGCACUGACACUGAGGCACGAAAGCGUGGGGAGCAAACAGGAUUAGAUACCCUGGUAGUCCACGCCCUAAACGAUGCGAACUGGAUGUUGGGAGCAACUUGGCUCUCAGUAUCGAAGCUAACGCGUUAAGUUCGCCGCCUGGGAAGUACGGUCGCAAGACUG
rnacentral:rRNA from 1 species